rnacentral:rRNA from 1 species
GAUGAACGCUGGCGGCGUGCCUAACACAUGCAAGUCGAGCGAACAGACGAGUAGCUUGCUCCACUGACCUUAGCGGUGCACGGGUGAGUAACACGUGGAUAUCCUACCUAUAAGACUGGGAUAACUUCGGGAUACCGGAGCUAUUACCGUAUAAUAUAUUGACCCGCAUGGUUCAAUAGUGAAUGACGGUUUUACUGUCACUUAUAGAUUGAUCCGCGCCGCAGUAUCUAGUUGGUAACGUAACGGCUUAACAAGGCGACGAUGCGUAGCCGACCUGAGAGGGUGAUCGGCCACACUGGAACUGAGACACGGUCCAGACUCCUACGGGAGGCAGCAGUAGGGAAUCUUCCGCAAUGGGCGAAAUCCUGACGGAGCAACGCCGCGUGAGUGAUGAAGGUCUUCGCAUCGUAAAACUGUGUUAUUAGGGAAGAACAAAUGUGUAAGCAACUGUGCACGUCUUGACGGUACCUAAUCAGAAAGCCACGGCUAAAUACGUG